UACGGGGGGGGGCAAGCGUUGUUCGGAAUUACUGGGCGUAAAGGGUUCGUAGGUGGCCCGCUAAGUCACACGUGAAAUCCCCUCAGCUUAACUGGGGAACUGCGUGUGAGACUGGCGGGCUUGAGUGCAGGAGAGGAACGCGGAAUUCCAGGUGUAGCGGUGAAAUGCGUAGAUAUCUGGAGGAACACCGGUGGCGAAGGCGGCAUCCUGGACCGGCAUUGACGCUGAGGAGCGAAAGCCAGGGGAGCAAACGGG
rnacentral:rRNA from 1 species